CCGGACGUAGCGCAGAGGUCGUCGCACCGCCAUGCCAUGGCGGGAGACGCCGGUUCGAAUCCGGCCGUCCGGG
rnacentral:tRNA from 1 species